UGGGGAAUAUUGCACAAUGGGCGCAAGCCUGAUGCAGCCAUGCCGCGUGUGUGAAGAAGGCCUUCGGGUUGUAAAGCACUUUCAGCGAGGAGGAAGGUGGUGAGCUUAAUACGCUCAUCAAUUGACGUUACUCGCAGAAGAAGCACCGGCUAACUCCGUGCCAGCAGCCGCGGUAAUACGGAGGGUGCAAGCGUUAAUCGGAAUUACUGGGCGUAAAGCGCACGCAGGCGGUUUGUUAAGUCAGAUGUGAAAUCCCCGGGCUCAACCUGGGAACUGCAUUUGAAACUGGCAAGCUAGAGUCUCGUAGAGGGGGGUAGAAUUCCAGGUGUAGCGGUGAAAUGCGUAGAGAUCUGGAGGAAUACCGGUGGCGAAGGCGGCCCCCUGGACGAAGACUGACGCUCAGGUGCGAAAGCGUGGGGCAGCAAACAGGAUUAGAUACCCUGGUAGUCCACGCUGUAAAACGAUGUCGAUUUUGGAGGUUGUGCCCUUGAGGCGUGGCUCCCGGAGCUAACGCGUUAAAUCGACCGCCUGGGGAGUACGGCCGCAAGGUUAAAACUCAAAGGAAUUGACGGGGUCUAGCUG
rnacentral:rRNA from 1 species